AAAAUUUAAAGUGGAGCAAUAUUCUACAUCAGAAUUUGUUUCGAUGUACUUUAAAAAAUUUGAUUAUCGAACAUUCAAAAUAAUUUUUAUUUUGCCAAUAAACUCAUGUUUAUAUUGUGAAGAAACGAAUGAGGAAGUAAAAUGUCAAAAAUACCACAAGCAUUCAUGUUUUAUUUGCACUGGCACAAGACAACAAAGUUAUAUUUGUGAAAUGUGCCAUAAUAAACAACAAUACAUAGUUACCCCCUAGACCAAAGUUAUAUCACUGCAUCUGGUAUGAUACCUGGCAGUGAUAAUUUCAUUCAAUUUAGAUUUCUUACUAACAAUCCAAUUUCAUUAACAUAUCUUCCCUUCCUCUCCCGGUGAGAGUGUUGUCGCCUCUACGUGGUCUCACUAGACAUGCAUCACUUAAGCUUUUGAGGUAUUGUUGAUAUCCCGAAUGUAUGUGUUUAUAACAAUUCAAUAUAAUACGCGGAUUUUAAGUACCGUAUCUCAAAUGUUUUUGUUUUAUGUAUGACCAAAUGGCAACAAACUUUGUAUGUGAAAUUAUCAAUAAAUAAGCAAAAUCGGGACUCUUCCCUAAACACAAUUCGAUGCCAUUCUUGCGCCCAAUUCGCUCUUUCCUUGCUCCAUUCUAGCCUGCGUAGACGGUAAAGUGGUGUAAGAAGAAGACAUAAAAAUAGACGAUAUGAACGCAGCCCAUAAGACCUUAUGCGGCUAUAAACAGAUGACUUUGACAUCCAGGGCGACGUUGUUGCACCCCUUCCUCGGACCAUUUGGACCAUCUCAAAAAGUUUCCACUACCGAUGAGAGCAUUUGAAGAAACUCCUCAAUUUGAGGAAUUUGAUGGUUUGAUUUGCAACGUGUCUCGUAAAAGUGAAUAUCAGAACUUUUUGGGAAACAAUUUUGGGAGGAGUGGACGUAAAGAAGAUACCUUUGGAUAAAUACCGAGGAUAAGGAAAAUAUCUUUCGCCGCCGAUGAGUUCCCCCAAAUUAAGAUACCAUAUGAUGCCUUACUAUGAAAGUUCGCAAAGUACGUAGCCUUAGCUGCCUCUUAUCCAGCUAUUGUUCUAAUAUGCCUGAUAGUGAAAAUCGCAACAGCUAGAGAUCUUUGAAGAUACUCAACAUGAGAGUUUCAGUUUUGAUUUGGCAUUACGGAAAUCCCUAGGAAUUUUAUUGGUUCUUGCUCCCGUCCUUCAGGUUUUGUCGCAGAAGUUUCUGCGUUUUGUCAACAUUUAGCUUCAGGGAAUUAGUCCCAAACCAUUCCACAGCGUCAACCAUAAUAAUUUCAGUGCUCUUUUCAAGGUCACGUUUAUCUUUCUAUGUUAGCAUGAAAAACGUGUCAUCAGCGUAUAUAUAGUACAGGAUGUCCCGAAACUCAAUUCAAAAAUGUGUUUAUUACCACUUA